CCCCUAUUUUUUUUUUCUUUCUAAAAUGCCCCUCAUAGGUUCCACCGUUAUUCCAAAAUACCCUUGCUGUUAUCCCCUGUUAGUUUAACUCGGGUUAAACAUGGGUUAAAUGUAUACUUGAGUUAAAACUAUCUAAAAUACCAAUUUUGCCCCUACCUUAUUAUCCUAAUCCNUAUAUAUUAUUCCAUAUGUAAUGACUCGACUCACUAAUAAUAUAUUAUUCCAUAUGUAACGACCCUACUCACUAAUAAUAAUAACUCGUUUCACUAAUAAUAUAUUAGGGAUAAUUGCCUAUAUACCCCACAUGGGUCUAGAUAUAUCCGAUCUACCCCUACUUUUUUUUUCUUUCUAAAAUGCCCCUCAUAGGUUCCACCGUUAUUCCAAAAUACCCUCGCUGUUAUCCCCUGUUAGUUUAACUCGGGUUAAACAUGGGUUAAAUGUAUACUUGAGUUAAAACUAUCUAAAAUACCAAUUUUGCCCCUACCUUAUUAUCCUAAUCCCUUAAGUUAUCAUUUCUUUCUCUCCCUCCCAUCUUUCUUUUCCUACGACGCGCGACUUGGCCCCAUUCACAACCGUCUUCAACCUAGGCGACAGCGAGCUUGUUGGAGAGAAAACCGUUGCUUCUCCUCUACCAUUUCUAUUUUGUCUUUGCAAAAAAGUACUUCCUCCUUCUCCGAUGCCUCCUUCUCCACUGUCUCCGCUGUCUCCGUCGAUCUUCGCCAUCGUUUCCAUUAUUUAGAGUUUUGGAGUAUACAAAUAUUGUGCUCUGUUUGAACGAGAUCAGGGUCUACAUUGUGUUCUUACAACUUUCUACGUAAAGAAAAAGGUAAGAUUCAUGAAAU
rnacentral:lncRNA from 1 species